GCAAAGAUUUGGAGUUGUCCUUUUACUUUGUGGGUUGUCUGCUGCUUAUGCAGUGGUCAGGAAGAAGGAAAGAUGCUGAGAUCUAUGGCUGUGGUGGGGCUGUGAAUGUUAAAGGUAACAUGUUCUAGAUGGUGCGUAUCCAUUAGCACUGCUGGGGGAUUUACCAGGACAUGAGAAAAGACAUCAUUGGUUUGAGCAACACCUAGAGUUUGUAGCAUCCUGUGGGUGAAAAACAGACUCUCAAGGGAUGCAUCAUGUUGGAGCUAGAAAGGGGCGUUUUCCACAUUUCCAAUCUCUGAAUGAGGUGCUCUGGUGUAAGAGCUCAUCCAUCAGUUACAGCCUCCGUCAAAACUGGGGAUGUGUGGAUGUGGCUUAGUGGAUCUUGGGAAUAGUACAGGAGUGUCAGUUCCUGUUCAAUGAAG
rnacentral:lncRNA from 1 species